rnacentral:rRNA from 1 species
AUUGAACGCUGGCGGCAGGCUUAACACAUGCAAGUCGAGCGAGUGGCGGACGGGUGAGUAAUGUCUGGGAAACUGCCUGAUGGAGGGGGAUAACUACUGGAAACGGUAGCUAAUACCGCAUACCAUCGGAUGUGCCCAGAUGGGAUUAGCUAGUAGGUGGGGUAAAGGCUCACCUAGGCGACGAUCCCUAGCUGGUCUGAGAGGAUGACCAGCCACACUGGAACUGAGACACGGUCCAGACGCCUACGGGAGGCAGAAGUGGGGAAUAUUGCACAAUGGGCGCAAGCCGGAUGCAGCCAUGCCGCGUGUAUGAAGAAGGCCGUCGGGUGGUAAAGUACUUUCAGCGAGGAGGUGUUACUCGCAGAAGAAGCACCGGCUAACUCCGUGCCAGCAGCCGCGGUAAUAC